rnacentral:rRNA from 1 species
AGAUUGAACGCUGGCGGCAGGCCUAACACAUGCAAGUCGAGCGGUAGAGAGGUGCUUGCAUCUCUUGAGAGCGGCGGACGGGUGAGUAAUGCCUAGGAAUCUGCCUAGUGGUGGGGGAUAACGUUCGGAAACGGACGCUAAUACCGCAUACGUCCUACGGGAGAAAGCGGGGGACCUUCGGGCCUCGCGCCAUUAGAUGAGCCUAGGUCGGAUUAGC